AAAAUAAGUACCUAAGUUCGACGUUCUUAAUACGAACUACGAUUCCCUUUAGAUCUUGCAGUUAAGAUCACAGGACGAUCAUUCAACUGCACCUUCGCAGGAUACGCUUCCAAAGCUGUAUUUUAUACCAGGAUGGAAACGCGAUAUUUGGAAACGCGGCGUAAUGUGAUGUUUAUCGACAGCGUGGUCGCGCGCGUAUUCCACAUUAACAUUCCGUAUAAAAUCCGUAGGUAGAUAAGUGGAAUGCCCUGUACAGAGACGCGUUUGCAUACACGCCGGUGUAUAUCUAGAUGCUACAUGCAUCUGCGCCCGUCCGUUGAACGUGCAUGCACGCGAGUUUAACGAGCGCGGCAGAGGCUGGCGCCAAACGGCGAUCCUAACAUCGGCCAACCGAUUCGCGAUCUCUGCCUUCUACGAUAAUCCUCUGCCAUGGCAUACUGUUGUCCGCUGCGGAAACGUGAUCGAGCAUGAUCGAGCCUCGUGCUUACAGCCUAUCCUAAUAGAUAUCAUAAUGAACGUACAAAGUCGGGCAAAUACUGGCGUUGCAUAGGUCUGGAGAAUGGGAAUAUUGUGAUAGUAUAUUAGUACAGAAUUAUACACCAUUUCUUUUAUAGGAAAUAUUUUUGAUAGCUGUAAGUGUUAAUUAUUAAUAUGGAAAGUAUUUUUAAGGUCUAAAGAAAAUUUCUAUCGUUGGUAGUGAAAAUGAUUUACAUAUAUCUGAAAUUUGGUGAAAAACUGGCUAUUAUUAAAUACAGAAGUGACAGUAGAGAGAAGGAAACGAUACGUGUAAAGGGCCACGAGACUAUUUUUCAUUCAUGAAUGAAGCGAUGCGAACGUAAAAGUACUUUAUCCAUCAUAUUCGUUAUCAAGAACAUGGCAAUGCAUAGAGUAUUUUUACCACAGAAUUUCUAGCUCUGAGAAUAUCUUACAAUCCCUAGUGUUUCAGCGUGUAUCACGAGUGGCUCUUUCGAAGCUUAUAAUUAUUAGACACAGAACAAAUAUGACUCCUUGAAUAGCGCUCACUGAAUAAUUUUGAUAAGCCUAUAUAUGCAUAGAUAGGGCAAGCAACGCUUUGUGAGAAUGCGUUCUAAUCGUAAAUGCGUUCAGCAACCGGUGACCCAGAAUGUUAAUACUUUCUCCUUCCUUAAGUAUUCUUUUGUUCUCCGUUCAAAUGCACCUGUAUUGUUCCCGCAACACACAACCGUUCCGUGACAAAGCGAUAACGGGUCACGAAGGUUCCGAUACAAUGUUCAGAGGAGAAUACUACUGACGUAAGUAAACACGUACGAACAGCCGCUGGUGGACCAUCGAAUUGAACUCCGAAAAUAAAACGAUACGUGGCUAAGUAGACUGGAAGAGAAAAUUUUUUUCUCCUCCUAUUU